UACGUAGGCAGCGAGCGUUGUUCGGAAUUACUGGGCGUAAAGAGUGUGUAGGCGGUGCUCUAAGUUCGGUGUGAAAUCUCCUGGCUCAACUGGGAGGGUGCGCCGGAAACUGGAGUGCUUGAGCGUGGGAGAGGAAAGCGGAAUUCCUGGUGUAGCGGUGAAAUGCGUAGAUAUCAGGAGGAACACCUGUGGUGUAGACGGCUUUCUGGACCAUAACUGACGCUGAUGCACGAAAGCGUGGGUAGCAAACAGG
rnacentral:rRNA from 1 species